ACUGCCCCUAGAGGCGUUGCAGCUGUGGCUGCCGUGUCACAUCUGUGUCAUUAGGUGGCAGAGAUUAGAGAGGCUAUGUCUACGCUCAGCGUUCUGCCCCGUGAACGUUUGAAUGUUUGAUAGUCUCACACU
rnacentral:snoRNA from 10 species